rnacentral:misc_RNA from 1 species
UACGUAGGUGGCAAGCGUUGUCCGGAAUCAUUGGGUGUAAAGGGUGCGCAGGCGGGCAUCUAAGUCUGAGGUGAAAUCUUGCCGCUUAACGGUAAAAUUGCCUUAGAUACUGGGUGUCUUGAAUCUAGUAGAGGUCGGUGGAAUUCGUGGUGUAGCGGUGAAAUGCAUAGAUAUCACGAAGAACAUCAGUGGCGAAGGCGGCCGACUGGGCUAGUAUUGACGCUGAGGCACGAGAGCGUGGGGAGCGAACAGG